GGAAGCCAUUCUAGUUGUAGAAUUCUUGCAAUGAGCCUCUGGCUGGGCUGAGUGUUUUAACAAAGCUGGUCACAAGUUGUGACACAAGUUUGUCCAUCGACUUGUUUGUCAACUUGUCUGUCAAACUUGUUUGACAAGUUUGAAGAACUGUGACGAUACGUUUUUGAAGACCGGGUGCAACUCUAGUUUGUGAUUGGUUGGGUUAAAAAAGUUUAUGCUUUUUGAAAAGUUCAAAGCUUUUUUGAAUAAGUUGGGGGGAGUUUGGUAUCACAUUAGUGCCUGGAGUCCUGGAGUGACAGCUUAACACGGACGCAACUCCUAGGAGACAGGAAACGAAGGUGAACCAUAGCUAAUAAUUGGUUGGCGACGCAGAGUAUAAGUCCAGCCAUGUCUGACGAGAAAAAGGACUCAAACGGAGUUGGGCUGCAAAUAGAGGGCCCUGGCAUAAUGCAUAGACGUCCCAUAGAAAUGCCUUGUCUGCCGGCUCCGCUCAGUUUGGAGGAGAAAAAAAUUACUACUAGCUGUUGAGAGAGGCGAUGCUGCUAAUGUCAGAAG